GACGAACGCUGGCGGCGUGCUUAACACAUGCCAGUCGAACGGAAAGGCCCUGCUUUUGUGGGGUGCUCGAUUGGCGAACGGGUGAGUAACACGUGAGUAACCUGCCCUUGUCUUUGGGAUAACUUCAGGAAACAGGGGCUAAUACCGGGUAGGAGCUCCUGCUGCAUGGUGGGGGUUGGAGAGUUUCGGCGGUGGGGGAUGGAUUGGCGGGUUAUGAGCUUGUUGGUCGGGUAGUUGUUUACCAAGUCUAUGACGGGUAGGCGGCCUGAGAGGGUUACCGGGGUCAUUGGGACUGCGGUACGGCGCAGACUCCUAUGGGAGGCAGCAGUGGGGAAUAUUGCACAAUGGGCGGAAGCGUGAUGUAGCAAUGUCGCGUGCGGGAUGACGGGUUUCGGGGUGUAAACCGCUGUCGCAUGUGACGAAGCGUGAGUGACGGUAAUGGGUAAAGAAGCACCGGCUAACUACGUG
rnacentral:rRNA from 1 species